rnacentral:lncRNA from 1 species
GGGGAGUUUGCACAUGUAUAUAACACACCUCAAUUGUUCUUCAUCUCCUUCUCCUCCACCCCUUCUCCCUCCUAUUUUUGAAUAUCUUCUUUGAGAAAGAUCUAUGUCCUUACUUCCUGUUAUCUACCAUUGAUUUUAUUCUUUAUAUUUUGAUUUAAAUGUACAAAUUUAAAAGACAAUUACUUUGGGGAAUUCGAAAGAUUUCUUGCUCCAGAAAUGUAGCCAUUCGUGCUGCACAGUGCUCCGGCCUAAUAUACCAAAGUAUUCUGUAGCCGAGAUCCAC